CCCUAGCAUGAGAGAGACUAGUGAAAGAGGUGACUCGGGAGGUGAGUGAUGGUCAGAUGGAGCCAUGGUCGGUUAUAUGAAGCAUGAACUGCUCAAACUAUUUUGAAUUGAGCGAAACCGGGCAGUUCCAUCUGGUUUGAACUAGUUUGAGGCCCAGACCGAAUCAAAAGGUCAUCCAUCUUUGUAAUUGACUGGUCCAAGUCGGUAUGCCCCGAACCGGGUGGUUCAUGAUAGUUCCACCGUCCUUGAUCAUCUUGCUAUGAUGACUCAGACUGAUGCUUUUUUUCCAAAUUUGAAUAUACCCUUCAUUUUGCAGUUUAGUAUGUUUUGGAAUGUUUAAUAUUGUAACUUACACAUAAAUAAAGGAAUUGAAACUUUUUUUCAUCUGAAGCAUCAGUAGGAACACAUCCUCUGGAUACUUGUCUGGAACAAGUAAAAUUCCUGCAUGAGAUCUGGAAAAAAUUGAGGUGACAAUGAAAUUCAUGAUUUCAAAUAAGUCAUGCUACUAAUGUAUGGAUUUUUGGUUUCUGGUUACUUGUUUUAUAUCUAAUUGGAUGAUUUUUUGUUAAAGUAUCUAGGAUCAAAUUUGUUGUUAGCUCAAACUGAAACUCAGUCUCUUGUAGAAAUAGAAAUGUUGGGAGGCAAGGUAGCUCAGUCAAUUUGACCUUCUUAGUUUGAAAAAGUUUCAUAAAUUGGAAAUAUGUGCUAUCAAGAGGACCAGUAAAAGUGCACUUUUCUUUUGGUAAUGAAGUAUGCAGCUGUAUCCCGAUCCAGUUGUGGGAAGACUAGCUCUCACAUUAAUUCAUUAAAAGGAAUAGUUAUUAGAAGGAUGCCAUCCCAUAUCAGGAUAUGACAGCAAAUAAUCUUGUAAAAGAGGAUUUGGAAG
rnacentral:lncRNA from 1 species